AAACCAAAAACGAGCAGAUAUGCAGCAUCACAGGACAGCGAGGAGGAGGAACAGACGUCUCAAAAGAUUUCCUCUGGAUGCCCCUGACCAGACAUGAACAACCUGGUUUUCCACAUCUCUACUGCUUUGCCAACAUAAAGGUGUCUGUCGUGGCCCUUCACGCUGACGGUCAGUCCGACACAAGACCAUACCGGCAGACCCGCAGAUCGGUUGACCCGCAGGACCAUUGAGCAUCUGGUGGAGCAGCUUCGGGUUCCUCACACUCUGGGGGGGGUGUACAGGAGACUGAGGUCCUGGUGUUUCUUUUCUGGCUGGCGUGUGGCGCAUCUUACGGCGUGGUAACCAGGGCCUUUGACAUGCCACGGUCCACUGUGAGCGGCAGACCGCAUCCUCCAGCUGAUGAGCAGGGUCACCCAGCAUCCAGUGGGAAUGAACUGCCAUUAGUCACCUCUGGUUUUUUAGCAGCUCGCUUGUUCUUGCACCUUCCAAAAGGCUGUGGGGAACACUG